rnacentral:rRNA from 1 species
GACGAACGCUGGCGGCGUGCUUAACACAUGCAAGUCGAACGGAAAGGCCCUGCUUUUGUGUGUUGCUCGAGUGGCGAACGGGUGAGUAACACGUGAGUAUCCUCCCCUUGACUUUGGGAUAACUUCAGGAAACUGCGGCUCAUACCGGAUAUGAGCUCCUGCUGCAUGGUGGGGGUUGGAGAGUUUCGGCGGUUGGGGCUGGACUCGCGGCUUAUCAGCUUGUUGGUGGGGUAGUGACUGACCAAGGCUUUGACGGGUAGCCGGCCUGAGAGGGUGAACGGCCACAUUGGGACUGAGAUACGGCCCAGAAGCCUACGGGAGGCAGCAGGGGGGAAUAUGGCAGAAUGGGCGGAAGCCUGAGGCAGCAACGCCGCGUGCGGGAUGACGGCCUUCGGGUGGUAAACAGAUGUCGCCGGUGACGAAGCGUGAGUGACGGUAAUGGGUAAAGAAGCACCGGCUAACUACGUG